GCACAUGGGCUCCGCCUCAACUCUCCUUCACAUGGACCUCACCGUUCAGCGCAACAUGGCCAAUUCACCGUGGACCACUCACGCACAUGGGCCUGCCAUUGCACUCCAGCACAUCUCUCACACAAUUCACGCACCUAAGACAGCAACUUCCUAAUUAGUGAGUCCCUCUGCACUCUAUUUAAGGGAUUUUAAGCGGCCAGAGAAUUCAUCUCUUCCAUUCGGCAAUUUCGCCAGCCUCUGCGCUCCAUCGAUUCUCUCUUUUCCUUUUUUUUAUUUUAUUUUUUAUUUUAUUUUUCUGUUUUUAAUUUCAGCCAAUGAGUUACUGAUUUUCUUGAUCUGGUUGAAUAUUGGUUGAAGUUUUAGUUAUUUAAUGGGUUGUGAGACUUGAUCAAAUAUUGUUUAAUUUUGGGAAUUCAAUAUUCAUGCAAUUUCAUAUUUAAUUCUCAUAUUAUUUUGUUAUUGAAAUCUACGUUGAUUUUUAAUUGCAAAAUAAUUAUUUGUUAGUUUGAAUAAUUUAAGUCCGUAAUUGCUUG
rnacentral:lncRNA from 1 species